CUACACACUAAAAUUAACAAAGCAUGGGGAAAUAUGAAUGGAAUUACAUUGUCGACCUAUUGUAACAAUUUCUGUGCAGUGUUUCGGAUUUUAAAGUAAUAGGAACGCUUCUCACACUAUGACUUAUAAACAUGGACAUAACAGCAAGCACCUUCAGUUAGAGUAUCUUACUAUGUAUUCAAAAAUACACUAAACAUUGGUCCUGAACUGCAUCUUCAAAACUCUUCGCCCAUGUUGAUCUCCCCCAUACUCUUUCAAUAAAGGCAGGACGAGGAUGGUCCGAGGCAGUCCCAAAUGCGUAUUUCCCAACAUUUGAAAUGGACAAAGAAGUACACUUUAAUUUUCGGGGUGCGAGUAGGGGU